rnacentral:rRNA from 1 species
CGGAGGGAUCAUUAAAGAGUUUUCUACAACUCCCAAACCCCUGUGAACAUACCUUCUGUUGCCUCGGCAGGCCUCGCCUACCCUCGUAGCCCCCUACACCGUAGGGCCUACGCCGGGUGGUGCGCGGACCCUGCCGGCGGCCCGCGAAACUCUGUUUAGCACUGAAUCUCUGAACAUCUAACUAAAUAAGUUAAAACUUUCAACAACGGAUCUCUUGGUUCUGGCAUCGAUGAAGAACGCAGCGAAAUGCGAUAAGUAAUGUGAAUUGCAGAAUUCAGUGAAUCAUCGAAUCUUUGAACGCACAUUGCGCCCAUUAGUAUUCUAGUGGGCAUGCCUGUUCGAGCGUCAUUUCAACCCUUAAGCCCCUGUUGCUUAGCGUUGGGAGCCUACGGCAGCGUAGCUCCCCAAAGUUAGUGGCGUGGUCGGUUCACACUCCAGACGUAGUAGAUUUUCGUCUCGCCUGUAGUUGGACCGGUCCCCUGCCGUAAAACACCCCAAUUCUAAAAGGUUGACCUCGGAUCAGGUAGGAAUACCCGCUGAACUUAAGCAUAUCAAUAAGCGGAGGAAAAGAAACCAACAGGGAUUGCCCCAGUAACGGCGAGUGAAGCGGCAACAGCUCAAAUUUGAAA